CCACAUGUCAUGCCCUUAAUACCUUUGAUCUAUAACAUACCACCAGAAAUAAACAUCAUUUACUAAUUAUUUCGAAUCAACAGCUGAAAGUGCACAUCUUGACAAAAUAGAACCAUCUCUAAGGAUAUAUUAAAAUCCUGAAAACGUUAGAAUAAUCAGAACGAAAGGUUUCGUGAAAAUUGAGUUCUGAUGUACAAACAAUUGGAGGGACGGUUAAUCUAAGUCUAAACAUAGGGAAAUCAAUAAAAUCUUGAUAAUAAUAAUGCCACUACUGCAAUAAAAUUGAACGCCACACGCGUUAUUAGCACCUCGAAGACUGCUUGUGUUUGGCGUUGGUGCUGGUGCAAUUGAAGGGGCUGAUGAAGCAGCAGUCUCAUGCUGGAUCACAGGAGGGCCCAUGACAGCAUUUGAGCCACGACGUUGUCAAUAUCGAUGCCCAGUCCUGGUCAUCAACAAACAAAAUGAACCGAAAUCUGCAGUCAGCUUACAAGAGCCACAUAAAUAGAUUCUUCUGAAAUUUAAGUAAAAAUAACAAUAAACAACAUUAAAAGAAGCAGGGUAAUUUUGCAAUCAUUUGUUUUAACAAUUAUGAUUAUAUUGAUGCUAUCAUAUCAAAUCACAUAAAAAGUACAUAAACAAAUAGUUUCGUGAAUAUGAAAUAGCCAGCCCCAAAUCUGCUAACAGUAUAAGAUUAUCAUUCACAGACAUGAAUAUAUACAUUCCGCUUUCUUGACUAGAAUAAGGCAGCCAGAGUACACUAAUUGACAUACCGCCAAACAAACGGCACCAUCAACAUUAGAUGCGAUGAUAGCACCUUAAAAGAAUUUUGUUUGCUUCAUUUCCUCAAAGUAGAACUAGUGAUGGGAGUGAUUCUACUUGGAGAUAAUGCCAAGCUAUCCAAAAGAAUGGAUGCAAAGGGCAAGCAGAACAAGGCCACUUAUGCGACAAGCAACACUGCAAGAAAUGUGCACACACCUCAUAAUUAGAGGUUCCAAAAUCGGCUCAUAAGUAGUACCUGGCUGAGGAGGAUGACACGGUAGGGAAUGAGAAACCGGGCGAGGGCGAGGGCGACGCGGGGAGCAGACCUUGCUGUAGAAAUAACAAGCCAG
rnacentral:lncRNA from 1 species